rnacentral:antisense_RNA from 1 species
GAAAAAACCAUAAAAUGAGACUAGAGAAACACUCCCCCAAUAAG